CUGGUAUCUUAGUGGCGGACGGGUGAGUAACGCGUGGGUAACCUGCCUUAUACAGGGGGAUAACACUUAGAAAUAGGUGCUAAUACCGCAUAAGCGCACGGGGCUGCAUGGCCCAGUGUGAAAAACUCCGGUGGUAUAAGAUGGACCCGCGUCUGAUUAGCUUGUUGGCGGGGUAACGGCCCACCAAGGCGACGAUCAGUAGGGGUUCUGAGAGGAAGGUCCCCCACAUUGGAACUGAGACACGGUCCAAACUCCUACGGGAGGCAGCAG
rnacentral:rRNA from 1 species